rnacentral:rRNA from 1 species
UACGUAGGGUGCAAGCGUUGUCCGGAAUUAUUGGGCGUAAAGAGCUCGUAGGCGGUUUGUCGCGUCGAAUGUGAAAACCCGGGGCUCAACCCCGGGCCUGCAUUCGAUACGGGCAGACUAGAGUGAUGUAGGGGAGACUGGAAUUCCUGGUGUAGCGGUGAAAUGCGCAGAUAUCAGGAGGAACACCGAUGGCGAAGGCAGGUCUCUGGGCCGUAACUGACGCUGAGGAGCGAAAGCGUGGGGAGCGAACAGG